UCUUGGCGAAAACUGGGAGUAACGGGACUAGUUAGUCUUUAUGCGCCUUGUUAGAUUCACCCCACAGGGAUAGUGGCAGAGCUGGCAGCGGACGGUUCUGGCUUUGGCCUCCGCCGGGCGCCUCACUGGAGCGGGAAGCUGGUAAAAGUUUCAUUUGAUCUGGAUACUAUUCAAAUAAAAUACCUGGAUGAGGAAAAUGAAGAGGUAUCCAUCAACAGUCAAGGGUUAUGCUCUGUCAUCCAGGCUGGCGUGCAGUGGCACAAUCUGGGA